CCUACGGGUGGCUGCAGUGGGGAAUAUUGCACAAUGGGCGCAAGCCUGAUGCAGCCAUGCCGCGUGUGUGAAGAAGGCCUUCGGGUUGUAAAGCACUUUCAGCGGGGAGGAAGGCGGUGAGGUUAAUAACCUCAUCGAUUGACGUUACCCGCAGAAGAAGCACCGGCUAACUCCGUGCCAGCAGCCGCGGUAAUACGGAGGGUGCAAGCGUUAAUCGGAAUUACUGGGCGUAAAGCGCACGCAGGCGGUCUGCCAAGUCGGAUGUGAAAUCCCCGGGCUCAACCGGGGAACUGCAUUCGAAACUGGCAGGCUAGAGUCUUGUAGAGGGGGGUAGAAUUCCAGGUGUAGCGGUGAAAUGCGUAGAGAUCUGGAGGAAUACCGGUGGCGAAGGCGGCCCCCUGGACAAAGGCUGACGCUCAGGUGCGAAAGCGUGGGGAGCAAACAGGAUUAGAUACCCCAGUAGUC
rnacentral:rRNA from 1 species